AGAAUCAACGCUGGCGGCGUGCCUAACACAUGCAAGUCGCACGAGAAAGUGGAGCAAUCCACGAGUAAAGUGGCGCACGGGUGAGUAACACGUGAAUAAUCUACCUCCGAGUGGGGAAUAACUGAGAGAAAUCUUAGCUAAUACCGCAUAAUACCCACGGGUCAAAGCAGCAAUGCGCUUGGAGAGGAGUUCGCGGCCGAUUAGCUAGUUGGCGGGGUAAUGGCCCACCAAGACUGUGAUCGGUA
rnacentral:rRNA from 1 species